GAUGAACGCUGGCGGCGUGCCUAAUACAUGCAAGUCGAGCGAACAGACGAGGAGCUUGCUCCUCUGACGUUAGCGGCGGACGGGUGAGUAACACGUGGAUAACCUACCUAUAAGACUGGUAUAACUUCGGGAAACCGGAGCUAAUACCGUAUAAUAUAUUGAACCGCAGUGUUCAAUAGUGAAAUACGGUUUUGCUGUCACUUAUAGAUGGAUCCGCGCCUCAUUAGCUAGUUGGUAAGUUAAUGGCUUACCAAGGCAACGAUGCGUAGCCGACCUGAGAGGGUGGUAGGCCACACUGGAAAUGAGACACGGUCAAGACUCCUACGGGAGGCAGCAGUAGGGAAUCUUCGGCAAUGGGCGAAAGCCUGACGGAGCAACGCCGCGUGAGUGAUGAAGGUCUUCGGAUCGUAAAACUCUGUUAUUAGGGAAGAACAAAUGUGUAAGUAACUAUGCACGUCUUGACGGUACCUAAUCAGAAAGCCACGGCUAACUACGUG
rnacentral:rRNA from 1 species